rnacentral:rRNA from 1 species
AUGCACGAGCGAGCCGUUUGGAUUUUUUUAUGCGAUUUGGGUGGACAAAACAUGCCGUUUGAAGGCUCCAUACCUGUAGAGAUUGGCAAUCUUGUUAAUCUCUUUUCGCUUGGGAUGGAAAGCAAUUUCCUUUAUGGAAGCAUACCUUCUUCCAUCGGCAAGCUACGAAACCUCUAUAUCCUAAAUCUGUCAAAGAACAAAUUAUCAGGUCAGAUUCCUCCCUCAAUUGGUGAUGUUACUCAACUUGCUCUACUUUACCUUGAUGGUAACAACUUGGGUGGAAAUAUACCUGGUAGUUUAGCUCAGUGCAUGGGGCUUUUUGAACUAAACUUAUCUCAAAACAAUCUUGAUGGCUCGAUACCAGUCAGACUUUUUGCUGACCUUCUAUUCGCCUGGAGUCUGGACUUCUCACACAACAAUCUCACAGGGGAACUACCACCGGUACUUGGUACAUAUGGCAUUGGUAGUGGUCUAGUUUCCCUUCACAUGGAAGGAAACAGGUUUCAUGGACAAAUUCCAGAAAGAUGGCAUCUAUUAGUAUCAACCCGGCAGAUUAAUCUUUCUCACAAUGACUUAUCCGGUGUCGUGCCCAAAUUCUUUGAGCAACUUGAUAAGCUGGAGCAACUUGAUCUCUCUUACAACAACUUGGAAGGGGCUGUUCCUGCAAGUGGUAUCUUCACACAUUCUGCUGCAGUAGUUUUGGAUGGCAACAAGGGACUCUGCUCAAAUUCCCCCAGGCUAGCGUUACCAAUUUGUCCUGGCAUCUCAGGUUCAGCAACUAAAGUGAAGCAUCAUCUGUCGUUGCUGGUGACCUCGCUGCUAAUUGUACUACCACCACUUACUAUUGGUUCCCUAGUCUUGAUAUGGUUUAUGCUCACUAUUUGGAAGAAAGGGUCGUUUCCAUUUUCACGAUGGGAUCUUGUGUCCAAGAUGUUUCCUAAUAGAAGAGAAGUGCAUACAGCCCCGUGCCAUGACGAGAAGAAGCUGAAGAGAGUGUCAUACGAGGACAUUGUUAAAGCUACCAACUGGUUUUCUUUGGUCCAUACUAUCAGCUCAACUUGUACUGGUUCAGUUUAUGUUGGUAGGUUCAAGUCCGACAAGAGCCUAGUUGCCAUCAAAGUAUUCAAGUUGAAUGAACCUGGUGGAUACGAUAGUUACCUUAUUGAGUGUGAAGUGCUCCGAAGCACCCGCCAUAGAAAUAUAAUGCGACCUGUGACCCUAUGCUCAACAUUGGAUUCACAAAACCAUGAGUUCAAAGCACUAAUCUUCGAGUUCAUGGUUAAUGGAAGCCUGGAGGCAUGGUUGCAUUCUGAGCAGCACAAUGGAAUUCCAGACAAAGUGCUAGGCUUUGGCCAGAGGAUAUGCAUAGCAGCAGAUGUGGCUUCUGCUCUUGAUUAUGCCCACAAUGAACUGACGCCUCCUUUGAUCCAUUGUGAUUUGAAGCCAAACAAUGUCCUUUUGGAUGAUGACAUGACUGCACGGCUCAGUGACUUUGGCUCAGCAAAGUUUCUAUCACCAGGUCUGGUAAUUCCUAAAAGCCUGGAUGAUGUUGGAGGGACAAUUGGAUACGUGGCACCAGAGUACGGAAUGGGUUGCGAGAUCUCCGUAGCCGGCGAUUUAUAUAGUUUCGGAGUGCUUCUACUGGAAUUGCUUACUGGAAAACGACCUACUGAUGAUAUGUUUGUGGAUGGACUUAGCCUUUGUAAGUUCUCUGAAUCCAUGUUCCCAGACAGAGUUGCAGAGAUUCUUGAUCCUCAUAUGGCGCAUGAGGAGCAUCAAGGGUGCACAGAAGCAUGGAUGGAGAGAUAUAUUGUCCCCUUGGUUGCCCUUGGGCUGUCAUGUACCAUGGAAUCAACGAAGGAUAGGCCCGGAAUGAAAGACGUUUGUGCAAAACUUUCUGAUAUUAGAGCCUCUUUUCUGGAACUGUCAUGA